UCGGGGCACAACUCCAAGUCGUCCUGUAACCGUGGACACGGCUAUCCGAAUAGUUAAAUUUCAUCCGUGCAGGGGUGCACCACAUGUCCCGUCACGCUCGAUAACACUCUGGCCGGACAUACUUUUCUGGGUCCUUCCCGGCCUCGGAAUAUCGACACGUCACAGCCCCACCUAAGACUAAUCAGAGAGGUCAGCCCGCCGGUCUAAAUCCUAAGUGCAAAGGGUUUAUGGGCCCAGUUCCCCUCCGUGCUCCUGCACGAUGCGAGGGCGGCCGAUGUCAGUCCUAGCAUCCCUUAAUCACAAGCGCAACGCAUCUCGGGACCACUCGGGCGUGCGCCACUACGAUUGCUGACAUCUGAAAAGCUUCGGCUGAUACCGCGACGCCGAGUACCCAUAAUUCUUCCCGCGUAGUCGGUUAGUGCGAAAA
rnacentral:lncRNA from 1 species